AGUGAACGCUGGCGGUAGGCCUAACACAUGCAAGUCGAACGGCAGCACAGGAGAGCUUGCUCUCUGGGUGGCGAGUGGCGGACGGGUGAGGAAUACAUCGGAAUCUACUCUGUCGUGGGGGAUAACGUAGGGAAACUUACGCUAAUACCGCAUACGACCUACGGGUGAAAGCAGGGGACCUUCGGGCCUUGCGCGAUUGAAUGAGCCGAUGUCGGAUUAGCUAGUUGGCGGGGUAAAGGCCCACCAAGGCGACGAUCCGUAGCUGGUCUGAGAGGGUGAUCGGACACACUGGAACUGAGACACGGUCCAGACUCCUACGGGAGUCAGCAGUGGGGAAUAUUGGACAAUGGGCGCAAGCCUGAUCCAGCCAUACCGCGUGGGUGAAGAAGGCCUUCGGGUUGUAAAGCCCUUUUGUUGGGAAAGAAAUCCAGCUGGCUAAUACCCGGUUGGGAUGACGGUACCCAAAGAAUAAGCACCGGCUAACUUCGUGCCAGCCGCCGCCGUAA
rnacentral:rRNA from 1 species